UAAAGUGCUUAUAGUGCAGGUAGUUUUUAGUGACCUACUGCAGUAUGAGCACUUGAAGU
rnacentral:pre_miRNA from 1 species